rnacentral:rRNA from 1 species
UACGAAGGGGGCUAGCGUUGCUCGGAAUCACUGGGCGUAAAGGGUGCGUAGGCGGGUUUUUAAGUCAGGGGUGAAAUCCUGGAGCUCAACUCCAGAACUGCCUUUGAUACUGAAGAUCUUGAGUCCGGGAGAGGUGAGUGGAACUGCGAGUGUAGAGGUGAAAUUCGUAGAUAUUCGGAAGAACACCAGUGGCGAAGGCGACUCACUGGCCCGUUACUGACGCUGAGGCGCGAAAGCGUGGGGAGCAAACAGG